rnacentral:rRNA from 1 species
GUCUACAGCCAGAACACCCUGACCGCGCUUGAUCCUGUCCGAUCUUGGGACCUAAGCAGGGUCGGGCCUGAUGAGCACUUGGGUGGGAGGCUGAGGCAGGGUCACUUCAGGCU